GAGAACUAAACACACGAUAUGUCGAAUGAUGGAGUAACGUUCUGAAAGGCAACCCUAAUCCUCCGACUUGCACCUAAGUUAGUAGAAACUAAAGUGUAAGAAGCUCGGUGAAGUCGGCAGAGAGAUACCGAAACAGAUUAGAUGUCGAAAGCAUUUCAGAGGUGAGAUGUGUAUCCUAUAUGCCGGGGGUCUAUAAA
rfam:Eubacterium ventriosum ATCC 27560 Scfld021 genomic scaffold, whole genome shotgun sequence.